rnacentral:rRNA from 1 species
AACGAACGCUGGCGGCAUGCCUAACACAUGCAAGUCGAACGAGACCUUCGGGUCUAGUGGCGCACGGGUGCGUAACGCGUGGGAAUCUGCCCUUGGGUUCGGAAUAACGUUUGGAAACGAACGCUAAUACCGGAUGAUGUCUUCGGACCAAAGAUUUAUCGCCCAGGGAUGAGCCCGCGUAGGAUUAGCUUGUUGGUGAGGUAAAAGCUCACCAAGGCGACGAUCCUUAGCUGGUCUGAGAGGAUGAUCAGCCACACUGGGACUGAGACACGGCCCAGACUCCUACGGGAGGCAGCAGUGGGGAAUAUUGGACAAUGGGCGAAAGCCUGAUCCAGCAAUGCCGCGUGAGUGAUGAAGGCCUUAGGGUUGUAAAGCUCUUUUACCCGGGAUGAUAAUGACAGUACCGGGAGAAUAAGCCCCGGCUAACUCCGUGCCAGCCGCCGCGGUAAAAC